UGGGGAAUAUUGCACAAUGGAGGGAACUCUGAUGCAGCGACGCCGCGUGAACGAAGAAGGCUUUCGAGUCGUAAAGUUCUUUUAUAUGGGAAGAUAAUGACGGUACCAUAAGAAAAAGCCCCGGCUAACUACGUGCCAGCAGCCGCGGUAAUACGUAGGGGGCUAGCGUUGUCCGGAAUCACUGGGCGUAAAGGGUUCGCAGGCGGAAAUGCAAGUCAGGUGUAAAAGGCAGUAGCUUAACUACUGUAAGCAUUUGAAACUGCAUAUCUUGAGAAGGGUAGAGGUAAGUGGAAUUUCUAGUGUAGCGGUGAAAUGCGUAGAUAUUAAAAAGAAUACCGGUGGCGAAGGCGACUUACUGGGCUCAUUCUGACGCUGAGGAACGAAAGCGUGGGUAGCAAACAGG
rnacentral:rRNA from 1 species